AGGAAAAGAAACCAACNGGGAUUGCCCUAGUAACGGCGAGUGAACAGGCAAGAGCUCAGAUUUGAAAGGCACUUUUGUGCCGUUGUAUUCUGAAGUUAGGGUCCUGAGAAACGAUGCUUAAGUCUUCUGGAAAGGAGCGCCAUGGAGGGUGAUAGCCCCGUCUAGCAUUGACCUCAUAUAGGAUCUUAACAUGGAGUCGAGUUGUUUGGGAAUGCAGCUCAAAUGGGUGGUAUGCUCCAUCUAAAGCUAAAUAUCUGCGAGAGACCGAUAGUAAACAAGUACUGUGAGGGAAAGAUGAAAAGAACUUUGAAAAGAGAGUGAAAAAGUACGUGAAAUUGUUGAAAUGGAAGGGUAGGCCGCUAACCAUGUAGAGCCGUGUUUGGGGGGAAGAUAAAUGCUGUAGAAUGUAGCUCCUCGGAGUAUUAUAGAUGCAGUUCAUAUUCCCACCCGAGCGCGAGGAUCUCAGGUUCUACUAAAUGGUGGUCUACCACCC
rnacentral:rRNA from 1 species